rnacentral:rRNA from 1 species
UACGUAGGUGGCAAGCGUUGUCCGGAAUUAUUGGGCGUAAAGCGCGCGCAGGCGGUCCUUUAAGUCUGAUGUGAAAUCCCACGGCUCAACCGUGGAAGGUCAUUGGAAACUGGGGGACUUGAGUACAGAAGAGGAAAGCGGAAUUCCAAGUGUAGCGGUGAAAUGCGUAGAGAUUUGGAGGAACACCAGUGGCGAAGGCGGCUUUCUGGUCUGUAACUGACGCUGAGGCGCGAAAGCAUGGGGAGCGAACGAGG